AUGGCCAGUACAGUGGUAGCAGUUGGACUGACCAUUGCUGCUGCAGGAUUUGCAGGCCGUUAUGUUUUGCAAGCCAUGAAGCAUAUGGAGCCUCAAGUAAAACAAGUUUUUCAAAGCCUACCAAAAUCUGCCUUCAGUGGUGGCUAUUAUAGAGGUGGGUUUGAACCCAAAAUGACAAAACGGGAAGCAGCAUUAAUACUAGGUGUAAGCCCUACUGCCAAUAAAGGGAAAAUAAGAGAUGCUCACUGACGAAUUAUGCUUUCAAAUCAUCCUGACAAAGGAGGAUCUCCUUAUAUAGCAGCCAAAAUCAAUGAAGCUAAAGAUUUACUAGAAGGUCAAGCUAAAAAAUGA
rnacentral:lncRNA from 1 species